AGCCGAGGGAGGAGGAGGCGGCCGAGCCCGGGCCCGGGCCCUGCGCUCCCGCCGGCUUUACUGCCUGGAGGCCGGCGGGCCUGGCAAGUUUUUCCAAGAUGGCCUGGAUUCUGUGAACAGCCUCUUUCCUGGCUUGUCGAACAUUGUCCUGGCCACCCGUCUCGAUGGAA